CGUGUUCAGGAAGCAGCUCCAGAAGUGUCGGGUCCUCGUCCGAUCUCAGCUGCUGUGGCUUCGCUUGCUUCCGACGGGACAUUCUUCAGCUGCGAUAUCUUCCUCAUUCACAAACAUCAGCAGAGAUCCGCUGAAAAAAAAUCUUCUCAAAAAGUCAAGCUGUAAAAUAGCGCAGAUGAUCUUCUGUUAUGUGGAUGUAUCAUUAUGAUAGUGAAUGAUACUUUGAAUUGGCAGAGCUCCAGUGGGCACACUGAUAUGGAAAUGAGGGACGGACUCCGCAAUUUACUACUUCACCUUCAAACAUCACCAUCCACCCAAAAUCACCUCUAACGCCCAGAGGAGGAGGAGGGUCAAUUGUUUUCUUUUCUCUGUGGGGUUUUUCCUCUGUACUUCAUUUUAGCAUGAUUUUACUCUGAACUUCGGACGGUUUAUGUAUAUUCCCAACAGUUAGUGGAGUGAGAGGAAAGUGAGUUGUACGGGCUGCUCCGGUUCAGAAUAACUUUUCUUCUUUGUAAAGGUUCGUUUCGUCCAUUAGUUGAUACAAUGAACGAUUAACACAGUCAUCUCUGAGCAAAAAAGAAAAAGAAAAGCACACUUCGUCCUCGGAUGUUACCAAUUUUUCCAGUGUCAGCAAACUGAAGUUUACUACGGAUUCUGCGGUGGUUUUUGUCUUCCUCAAGCCCGUUUAAGGACUCUCGCUCCAGGCCUACAAAUCAGCUCGAAUCGUUAAAAGAAGGUUCGCGAAACAAACCGGCGUUUCAUCUGAGGUUUUCAGGUGUGCAUUCGGCUGGGUGAUGAUGCGGCAGCCGCAGAAGUUUGAUAGUUCUCGGUGAUGGCGCUGGAGAGGUGUGUGUCCGUGUGUGAGACUGUGUGUCGAGUGUGAGGGAUUUGCCGAAGGUUUGAACUGAGCCCAUUGCGGGGAGCGACCGCUAGGAUGUAGCAGGACACACCAAUUCACCUCAGCCCGUCAUCUGAUGCUCUGACUGCUUGAAAUUGACCUGAUAAAAUUACUCAGUGUAUCUUAUUAGGAGAAUUACAUUUGGUCUAUGAAUA
rnacentral:lncRNA from 1 species